AGGUUGGUGGAGGUCCAUCAUUUUGGGUUUAGCAACACUCAUGCUAAUUGUUCUGGCAGUCUACAUGUGGAAGAGAACUAAAGGGAACAGAACACAGAUGGACGACAAUGCUGUGCAUCAUGAAGAUGAAGAUGAAGAUGAGGGUACAGUGACCUAUGAAAAUGUCGGAGAACCUUCUGCUUCUGUCCGACUCCACUGAUGAACAACUUCAACAUCCACUCACAAAAAAAAAUGUAAAUAAACCUUUUAAUAUCAUUUUUUAAUGUUUUCUAAGGUGUAUAAAAAAGUUAAGUCUAAAUUGUCAUCCAGUUUAACAAUUUAAACUUUUAAUGAAGAUGUUUCUCAUUGCUCUUAAUAUGUUCUCUAUUUGACAUUCAUAGCUAUUAUAUAGCAUCCAACAACAUUCUGCUAUGCACAGAUACGGUGGAGUGAUUUCAUAGAUAUGCUCUGAUUUUUGGAACUAAGCCCCUUUGAAGUUAAGUUUUGCUCAAGUUUUUUGUCUUUUUGUGUACAGAUGUAAAUUCAUUCAUUUUAAUUCAUAACACCGCUGUAAAAAUGUUUGCUGUUUGUCCAAAAUGUUUUUGCACACAAUGUUUUGAGGGUUUGAAUGAGUUUUCAACCUUACCAGAGUCUGAAAAUGAUAUAGUCUGCAAAUAAAAAACGUG